rnacentral:rRNA from 1 species
UACGUAGGGGGCAAGCGUUGUCCGGAAUCAUUGGGCGUAAAGCGCGUGUAGGCGGCUGGGUAAGUCCGCUCUGAAAGCCCGGGGCUCAACCCUGGGAGGCGGGUGGAUACUGCUCAGCUCGAGUCCGGAAGAGGAGUGUGGAAUUCCUGGUGUAGCGGUGAAAUGCGCAGAUAUCAGGAGGAACACCAAUGGCGAAGGCAGCACUCUGGGACGGUACUGACGCUGAGACGCGAAAGCGUGGGGAGCAAACAGG